rnacentral:lncRNA from 1 species
AUUGGUUGAUGUGUCGAUGCAUGAGAGAGAAAAAAAUGCAUUUAAUUCAGAUGACAGCGGUAAGUAUCGAUGCAGAGAGUUAUGCGUCGAUGCCAAGUAUUUCAAAAUUGUCAUAUGUAUCGAUACAUGUGAUGGAUGCGUCGAUGCCUAGUGUUUUCAAUUGCCUUGUGUAUCGAUACAUGCGAUACGUUUGAGUUGAAUGUUGAAGUCUUGUAGUUGCUGCUUAAGCCAUAAAAUCUGAGCGCAACAACUACCGGCUGCAACGUAUUCGGCCUCUG